GAAGAACCAGUUAAGCUCUGGGUAGACUCCUUUGUCAGUGAACAUUCUGAGGGGGCCAAUGACCCCCCAAAUGAUUGAUGCAUUGUAGAACACAUCAUCAGCAUGACAUGUCCAUGGACUUCCCUCUGGCAGCUUUGAUGGAUCACAUAUGUGCUCAAUGGUUGUGAGAAGCCACCAAGAUGCGACAAAGUAGACACUUGAAGCAACUAUUGUUCCAACUAACCGAAGAUCAUUGCAAACAAAAAACAAAAAACAAGGAGGGGGAAUAGAAAUGACUAGAUAAUUUUAAAGAAAAUUCUAACUAGAUAAGGACUCGUUAACAAUAAAUAUACAUUAAUUUGAUAAUUGUGUUUAUAUAAUCGAUAGUCUAAACUAUUGUAAAUUGAAAAUGGAGAUUCGAAUUUGGGUGCAAGGAGACGAGUUUGCUACCCUAACCAACUGACUUAAUCUAUUCCAUACAACGAAAAAAAAUACAAAAAAACAAAAAAAACAAAAAACAUGACCCUCGAUAAACGGUUUACAAUAAUGAUAAUAAAUGAAUAUGUACCAUUGUCAUUACAAAGUCUACCAAAGUGCAUGUAUGUGGAAAUUUACAAGUCAGCAGGAGCUAAUAAUAUUGUCGGAUGAAGCUGGGUCCUAUAAAAUUAGUAGAUAAUACAUGCCUUGACACAGCAUAGUGAUCGAUAAGUUCUACUUUCAUAGAUUUCAUAGAGUUUUCCAUCCCAAAAAGCUUAAAAGCUUCAUUUCAUACCCUUCUCUCCAACAUGAAGCAAAAGAUACUAUUGAGUGUGCCAAUGCACUGUGACAAAUGCCGAACCAAGGCCUUGAAGAUUGCUGCAGCUGCGCACGGUGUGAGCAAAGUGUCGAUCGAAGGAGCAGACAAAGAUCAUAUUGAGGUGAUUGGAGAUGGGGUU